rnacentral:lncRNA from 1 species
CCUCUUCUCUCUUCUUCCAUCAAAAUAAAAUAAAAAAAUCAGAAAAGGAUUGUUUUGAUCUAGGCCCCUUAAUUGCAUAUCUGAAUAAUUAAAACAAUCUAAGAUGGAUCUCAACAGUAGAUUAGAUAAGCUAUCUCACAGAUUCUAUCGUCUAAUACCCAUCAGAUACUCUCUCUAUCUAUCUUAUCUUCCUACGCAACAAGUUUGCCCAAUAUGUUCGAGCCUCACUCACGAUGU